UUAGCGCGUGCAUCCUCUGCGUGGGACGUGCACAGAAUGGCGCCAACCCGCUAGUAUGUAAGGACCCGGCCUGGGCGCUUCCAGGGAAACGCGAAGGGGGCUUCGGAUGCGCUGGAGCUUGAGAGGUUUCUGUAUACAGAGCCUUCAGGACUGCUUUUGGUGGAAAGAGAGCACGUGGUGCUAAUUCACUGUGUUGGUGGGAACACUGGCUACACUGAAAGGUUUGAGAAAGUUAUCCUGUAAACCAACUAGAAUCAGGUGCUUUUGUUUCUGAAGUGCUUUGAUUCUUACUUUGACCCCCAGGCUGGAGUACAGUGGCAUGAUCUUGGUUCACCACAAUCUCAUCUUGAGGGCUCAGGUGAUUCUACCACCUCAGCCUCCUGAGUAGCUGGGACCACAG